GAUGAACGCUGGCGGCGUGCCUAAUACAUGCAAGUCGAGCGAACAGACGAGGAGCUUGCUCCUCUGACGUUAGCGGCGGACGGGUGAGUAACACGUGGAUAACCUACCUAUAAGACUGGGAUAACUUCGGGAAACCGGAGCUAAUACCGGAUAAUAUAUUGAACCGCAUGGUUCAAUAGUGAAGGACGGUUUUGCUGUCACUUAUAGAUGGAUCCGCGCCGCAUUAGCUAGUUGGUAAGGUAACGGCUUACCAAGGCAACGAUGCGUAGCCGACCUGAGAGGGUGAUCGGCAACACUGGAACUGAGACACGGUCCAGACUCCUACGGGAGGCAGCAGUAGGGAAUCUUCCGCAAUGGGCGAAAGCUUGACGGAGCAACGCCGCGUGAGUGAUGAAGGUCUUCGGAUCGUAAAACUCUGUUAUUAGGGAAGAACAAAUGUGUAAGUAACUAUGCACGUCUUGACGGUACCUAAUCAGAAAGCCACGGCUAACUACGUG
rnacentral:rRNA from 1 species